rnacentral:lncRNA from 1 species
AGGCUGUUUUAAUUUGCAAAAAAUUCUCAAGCAUACUUACCUUGUAUUUAUUGCCUGAUCAAAACGGGAUCCGAGGAGGGGAAUGUCAUACUCUUAGAUCAGAGACUUUGGAAAUUAAAAUCUUUAUCAACUCUUGCUGGCAUAUUGCUUAUUAGAGGGACCAUGGGCUAUCAUUUUCUUUUUCUUCUUCUUUUUUUAAGUGGAUACCGAGGUACCCCUAAUUCUACUGCCGGACACUCGUCCAUUUUUCUGCGAGGUUAUCGAGCACUUGCUCCUUUUUAUUUCCUCGAAAUAUCUUUAUUUUUGCAUAGCCCAUGCCUCUAAUGCAAUAAUACUUCGGAAGAGUGAAUCUUUCUGAAUAAAUGUCUUG